GGGUAUAUAGCUCAGUGGUAGAGUGCGUGCCUAGCAUGCACAAGGUCCUGGGUUCGAUCUCCAGUACCUG
rnacentral:tRNA from 1 species